rnacentral:rRNA from 1 species
UGGGGAAUAUUGGACAAUGGGCGCAAGCCUGAUCCAGCCAUGCCGCGUGGAUGAAGAAGGCCCUAGGGUUGUAAAGUCCUUUCGGUGGUGAAGAUAAUGACGGUAACCACAGAAGAAGCCCCGGCUAAUUUCGUGCCAGCAGCCGCGGUAAUACGAAAGGGGCUAGCGUUGUUCGGAAUUACUGGGCGUAAAGCGCACGUAGGCGGUUUUUAAGUCAGAUGUGAAAGCCCCGGGCUCAACCUGGGAAUUGCAUUUGAAACUGGAAAACUAGAGUGUGUGAGAGGGGGGUAGAAUUCCAAGUGUAGCGGUGAAAUGCGUAGAGAUUUGGAGGAAUACCAGUGGCGAAGGCGGCCCCCUGGCACAACACUGACGCUCAGGUGCGAAAGCGUGGGGAGCAAACAGGAUUAGAUACCCACGUAGUCCCUGAGCGGGCUGGCAAGGCGCAU